rnacentral:misc_RNA from 1 species
GAUGAAGAACGCAGCGAAAUGCGAUAAGUAAUGUGAAUUGCAGAAUUCAGUGAAUCAUCGAAUCUUUGAACGCAUAUUGCGCUCUUUGGUAUUCCGAAGAGCAUGCUUGUUUGAGUAUCAGUAAACACCUCAAAGACUUCAAUUUGUUUUGAAUGGCUUUGGACUUGAGCAAUCCCAACACCAGUCUUUACGAUCGGUGGAGGGUUGCUUGAAAUGCAGGUGCAGCUGGACAUUCUCCUGAGCUAAAAGCAUAUUUAUUUAGUCCCGUCAAACGGAUUAUUACUUUUGCUGCAGCUAACAUAAAGGGAGUUUGACCGUAUUGGCUGACUGAUGCAGGAUUUCACAAGGGUCGGCAACGAUUCUUGUAAAACUCGAUCUCAAAUCAAGUAAGACUACCCGCUGAACUUAAGCAUAUCAAUAAGCGGAGGA